rnacentral:lncRNA from 1 species
CCUCACACGUUGCUGGUGGGAAGGUAAAGAGUACAACUACCUUAGAAGGCAACUUUUAUUUAUUUAUUUUUUUUGCGGAACCAGGGAUUGAUCUCAGGACCUUGCACGUACCAGGCAGGGGCUGGUGCCACUGAGGUAAACCUCUGGCCCAAGGAAGACAACUUUCUCUAAGAGUUAAGCAGGCAUCAUCACAUGCCCAUUAGUCCCACUCCUUGGCAUCUGGAGAACAUGACCACACAGAAAGCUGCACACCCGUGCUUCCGCAUAAUCGCCAACAGCUAGAAACAACUCUAAUGUCCAUCAACAGGUGGAUGUUGACCGUCAUAUAACAUGAGACUGGACCAGCAAUAAAAACAGACUACUCCCACACACAACUACAUGGAUGAAUCUCGAAGUCCUGCCGAGGGACUGGAGGAUGAGUGAAGCCAAUCUAAACCUUAAAAAGACAGCUAAGUUGUGGGGAAGUCGGCAUGGAUGGGAGUGACUAGAAAGGAUUCUCUCAGAGAGCUGUUGAAAUAGUUGCCAGCAGGAGAAAAUGAGGAGGGGCUACAGUAAGAAAUGGAGAGCUAAGAAGAGUCAUAAACGCGGAUUAACCUGGUGCUUGGAGUGGGGUUGUCCAACUGGAAGAGAAGAUGGGAAGGACAGGGAAGUCUUCAUAGACUGAGGUGUUGCCUGGCCAGAGUCCAUUCUCUCUUCUUCCAGAAAUAGACCCCCAAUUCCCUUUAGGGAACCGUCUCUCACCCACCCUCUGUCCUCAUAGUUCAUGCUGGGUUCCACCCCCAUCCUAGGCCGAUCAACAACCUGGUCUCCCUCAGGACUGUUUAUAUAGCAUGCACAUUUAUGACUGUUGCGGGAGUGGUUAUAUGAUCAGGCCUGGCCUAUCGCUGGAUACAGAAAUUGGUUCCAGAGUGGACAUUUGAUCCAAUCAGAGUGAAAUAGGAAGUGGGCAGAAGUUAUCAGAAGUCCAGAAGACAGGCUUUCUUUCUGCUGGCCUUGAACCGGAAGUAAUAAGCCUGGAGCUGCCAGGAGCCGGUGUGUAGGGAGGGCAGUGCCAGAGCGAAGCAAACCAGAGACAGGCCAGCCUGCAAACUGAAGAGAGGCCAGGUCCUGGGGACAUGGAGGAGCCACGAGGCUUUGGUCCUGGGGAUUGAAGCCAAGACCUUCACACUGCUGUACACUCUCAGCCCUUUUUUGUUUUUAUUUUGAGGCAAGGUCUUCCAAAGUCACCAAGUUACAUGGGCUGGGCUAGAGCUUACAAUCCUCCUGCCUCAGCCUUCCAGAGUUACGGGGUUACAGGUCUGCGUCACCAAGGUCAUCGGCUCUUUGUGCCUUUUGAGAGUUUGCAGCGAAAGGCCUGGGGUGGCCCAGAGUCAGCAAAGCCAUGGAGGGAAUAGGAGUUGGCCACAUGCAAAAGAAAGCGAGGCCACGCUGGACACGUUGCCCUGGCCUGCAUGUUUCCUGCAGCCUUGAGGCAAAGACAAACUGCAAAACGGAGUGGUUGCAGGUCACCUUUGAGCUCCAAGCUCAUCCCAAAGCUUCCCCUUUGGACAACUCUUCCCUGGAAGCAGAGCAACACGGCUCUUACGGUGUCCAAGCAGAGCAGCUGUCUCAUAGAUGUGCGAUGCAAGUCAGGUGGGGGAUUUGAAAUGUUGAAGUCGGAUUUUAAAAAUGGGGAAACGAAAUGGAAAAUUAAUUAAUUAAUUGCUAUACAUAUAUAAUUUGCAGUGUUGGGAAGGGAACUCUCGGCCUUUGCACUGAGCUACAUUCCCAGCCCUUUGUAUUUUUUAUUUGAGACAGGGUCUCACUCAGUUGCUUCGUUGCUCAGGCUGGGCUGGAACUUGUGACUGUCCUGCCUCAGCCUCCCCGAGUGCUGGGAUUAUAUGUGUAUGCCACCGUGCCCAGCUGAAAUUCCUUUUAAUAGUACAUCGAAUUCAGUAUCAGCAUCAUCCAAUGUGUAAUCGCUGAGUGAUCACUGCUGAGACAACUCUCUGUCCUUUCUACUCAGCCUUCAAAGCUGGUCGGGCUUGGCCAGUGUUAGAGCCCCGGAGCUGGCGGCUGCCAUCCUGGAGCCAGUGUCACUGUCCCCCAGAAACCCUAAACACACUUUUGGACACAUCUGGGUCCGGGCCCUUGCGGGACACGGCGCCUGCAGGGGACUUGACAUGAAGACCCUGUUUCCAGAGCCUCCCCCUGCUCUAGGGCUGAGGAGCCCACCUUUGUCCUCAUGGGCCAGCUCAGCCCCUGUUCCCUGCCCUGGCUGAGAAAAGCCAGCUGUGGCCAACACUGUGGCCCACGUGACGUGACUUCCCCACGUGGCCCGGGUCUCACAGCCUGUCCUCGAGUCUCGGAGGGCUGGGUGGAGCUGGUGUGAGAGAGCACAGACAACCUUCCCAGGGCUGGACGGAGCCAAACAGCAACUGCAGUGUUUGGUUAGACGCUGAGGGAGGUGCCCUCCGCCCGCGCCCUCCCGGGCCCCCAGCUUCUCCCUAAAGGCUGCUGUGCAGUCACACCUUCUGCUCAAGGGCCAGGGGCAGAUCGAUAUCAGGGUGGAGCUCAGGUGGGCGGGUCAGGAUGAGACUGGGUGGGGUGUCUGUGGGAACAGGGAACGAGUUCUGGAGAACAAGGGGUGGAGACAGAGAAGAGACUGGAGGACACUGGGCCUGUGGGCUCAAUGUGGCCAGGAGGCAGUAGCUUGGGGAGAGGAAGUGGGGCUGCUCAUGGGCAGUCCCGUCAGCAGUGACACAUUGGCCCUGUCCCUUCCUCUCUCAAGGACUCCUGUGUGCCUUAGGGAGAAUUAGUUAAGUCUCCAUGGCCAUGACAUUUAGGGGCUUCUCUUGGUGCUUCCUCAGGGCCCUGGAGACCUGGGGCAGGGAGGGUCGCAGGAGGCCAGAGGGCCAUGUGUUUGUCACUUGUCUGGGCUCCAGCAGCCUGGCUCUGUUUGCAAAACACCAAGAUGAGAUUAGGCAAUUCUGCAAACAGAACCAAGGUCCUGGCCAGCUGCCCAGGGUGUUUAAAGUCCCGGGCACCAGGCAGGCAAUGUGCACGUGGCCGCGCAGCUCAGAGCAGGCUGGGGAGGUGCAGGCGCAGGAGGCUGGAGCCUGACUGAGCAGAGGGUGCCCUUGGCCGGUCGGUCCCAGCCACCUUGGCACAGGCGUCAGUGGAUAUGAACUCGAGACAGCUGACAGCGGGUAACAUCAAUUAUGUGCAGAACAGCAGAGGUAUUAGGAGGAAUGGGGACAGCCUAUCCACUCUUUACCAGCUCACAUGGUGACUGAGCCUAAGCUAAUCUGGUGAUCACACCGAGAGCAUUCUCACAAAUGACGGUAGGACGUUGGCAGCUCUUAGUGCUUUGACUCAAUUGAUCAUCGUAUUUUAAAAUGUCAACUGAAGGAAAACAGGAAUGGGACCCACUGUCUACAGAGUCUCCCCCAGCAGUGUUAGUGCCAUCGUAAGUAAGCACAAAAUAAGUACUUAGCGAAGGGGACUGGCAGGCUUGGCCCCAGCUCACCUCUUGGCUCCUCUGCCUACUGAGUGAUCAAAAGGUCAGGCUGAAAGCCCUUUGGAUUUUCUACGUGGAGCUCGGGAAACUUGUAGCUAGGAGAUAAAAGGGAGUGGAAGUAGAUUACAUUGAAUGUCGUUUGUUAAAUGCUGUCUCCUGGCUUCUGUGUUUGUUUUUAUUUAUAGUUUAUCUUUUUCCUCCUGCCCACUCCUGUUACCAAGGUCCCCUCCCUGGCUUCUUGUGCAUUUUUCCAGAGAUACACAACCAAGCACGUGCGUGUGUGCACACACACACACACACACAGAUGGGUACACAAAGGCGCAGACAAACAUACACACACAUACACAGGACAGGCAGAUAGACACGUAGAAUCACACAUUCACAUAGACCCACACACAGGCACUUUAUAUCUAGGUAGGCAAAUACAUGUACAUCUGUAUAUUCUCCCCUUUAUUUUACUUGAAUUUUAGCUUACUGCUUCCUUGCUCUUUUCACUUAACAAUAUUCUUUGGAAAUCAUUCCAUAUCAACACAUAAAUUGUUUCCUAAUUUUCCUGGCUUGCGCACGGUUUCCAUUGCACGGAUAAACCUUAUUUAUUUUACCAUUGCCUACCAGCAGUCACUUAGGUCAACUCCAGGCCUCUUGCUGUCACAAACAAAGCUGCGAUGAGUCACGUUACCCAGGCCUGAUUUGGCAACCUAUCCAUUAAAGUCCUAGAAAAAGAAUUGCUCAAUCCUCCCUGCAUUUGUAAUGUUGGUAAAUAUUGUCCAGUUACCUUGUGUGGCAGUCUCGCCAGUGUUGCUCGCCACCGGAAACGUUGGCCCAAGCGUGUCCUCACACCCUUCCUGAGAACAUGUUUCAACAAUGUUUUAUUCUUUGCUAAUUUGGGGAAAAUGAGUAUCUACGCGGGUGUGCGCUUCUGUUAUGGGAAAUGAUGGUUAAGACUCCUGUGGUUUCAGUGUGUUUGUCUCCCAGGGGUUCGUGCUUUGAGGGCUUGGACUUCAGGGUGACAGUGGGGAACUGGGAUGCUUUAGAAGCACAGACCUGUCACCCCAGCCCUCUGAGAGGCUGAGCCCUGAGGAUCAUGAGUUCCAAUCUACCCAGGACAACUGAGCGAGACCCUGUCUCAGAAUAGAAAUGGUUUUUAAAGAGGCCUCAGUGCAAAGGCUCUGGGUUCAACCCUCAGUACUACACACACACACACACAUACACACACACAAAGGUGCUAGGGCCUAAUGUGAAGUCCUUAGGUCCCUCGACACAUGUCCUCAGAAGGGGUUGGCAUAGUCCUCAAGGAAACCCGGAUUUAGUUCUUCAGAGUGAGUUGCUAUGGAAGCCAGAGCCUGACCCUGAGCUGUCCCACCCAGCUUCCUGUCUGGUGAGAUGAUCUCUCUCUUCCCCUCAUGCCCCUUUCACGAAGCCCUCUGCCCUGACGCCUCACCCGUGUGGCACCUGAUCUCGGACUCUCAGCCUCCAGAAUGUGUUCCAUAAACCUCUUUACUUCAUAAGUCCCCUGCUUCAGGUAUGUUGUUACAGUAAUGAAAAAUGGACUAAAACAAGAACCAUUUCCUUUUCUGUAAACCAAUUUGCUUUAACAUUUUAAAAACUUCCUGUUAUUUUGAAAGGCUGAAACACAUCCCUGAAUGUUAAAAUCUCUAUAUGGGAAUGUUCAUACAGCAACACUUUUGGCCCAAUCACUUAUGGUGGGGCGGCUUCCCAUGAGCCACUUCAGUUACUUGGGAAAAAGCCAGAGAGAAACAGGAGCACACAGAGUCCCAGAGAUUGUGAGAAUGCUGCCCAAGUUGUCCCCGCCCAUUCUCAGGAGGCCUGGCCCCAAAGCAGGGGCCCUGGCUCAGGCCGACACCACCCUGGGAAAUGAUCCCCUGCUCCAACCUCAUCUGCUGCCUCCCCAUCCGGCUGGUGUUCCCUUGCCCACUCAAGGACACUGUCCUGCGGCUGUCCACUCACUGUCCCACACGGCAAGCUCCUUUUGCUCUCUGGGCAUGCCCAGCAGCACACAAACUGCCUUGCUGUUCUCACCUUCCUCAGCCUUGACGCUCACCGCACCCAGACACUGCUCAGGGCUCUGUCCUCUUUAAAGUAAAAUUUGCCAAAGGACAGAGGCUCCUGUCCACCUCCUCUUCUUAUAUUCUGCCUCUUUUUUUUCUUGGUGGUACUUGGGAUUAAACCCAGGUCCUUCACACUGAGCAACAUCCCCAGCCCUUUUUUAUUCUUUAUUUUGAGACAGGGUCGCACUAAGUCACUAAGUUGUCUGGGCUGGGCUUGAAUUUGUAAUCCGCCUGCCUCAGCCUCCCAGAGUGCUGGGAUUAUAGGCCUGCACCACCACACUUGGCAUCUUCCUUUCAAACCAUCUCUCUCUGUAUUGGUUUGUUAUGUCUGCUGUUCUGUCAGUGUCUCAGAGAGGUGUCUUAAAAUCCCCACAGAUGAGGGUGGCAUUCUAGAUUUAUUUUUUAAUUUAAAAAAUAUAUUUAUUUCUUUAUUUAUUUGAGACAGGAUGUCACUGUGUAGUCCAGGCUGGGCUUGAACUCACAGUGAUCCUCCUGCCUCAGCCUCCUGAGUGCUAGGAAUACAGGCGUGAGCCACCAUGCCCGGCUAGAUUCUUCUUUUAGUUCUGUCGGUUUUUGCUACAUGUAUCAAAGCUGGUCCCAUACAUAUUUAGGAUUUUUUAUUUCUUUUUGAGAAAUGGAUGUUCUCAUUAUGAAAUGUCUCUCUUAGUCUCUGUUAAUAGUCUUUGUCCUAAGUAUUCUUUAUCUGAUGUUAAUAGCCACGCUUACAUUCUUGGGGUUCAGCUUUGUGUGGCCCCCUCCCCUCAUUUUUUACUUUCUUCUGGUUGGCCUCCAUACACUUCAUGAAUAGCACGUAGCUGAGUCUUGCACCCAAAAUACUCCCUGAUUUUUAUGUGGAUUGCUUAUCCCACUUGAUUUCAAUGCAGUUGCCCAUGUGGUUGGUUUUAAAUCUGCCAUUUUCCUCUGUGUCUUCUAUUUGUGCCAUCUGUUCUUCAUUCCUUUUCUUUCCUAUUUUGGAUUAAGUAUGUUUCAGAGUUACUUUUCUCUCUCUCUCUCUCUCUCUCUCUCUCUCUCUCUCUCCACCCCCACUGAGCUACAGCAUGGCCCAUUUUUAAAUUUUUUUAUUUUGAAACAUAUUUUCUCUACUCUGCUCAGACUGACCUCAAACUUGUGAUACUCCAGCCUCAGACUCCUGAAUACCUGAGAUUAUAGGCAUAUGCCACCAUGGCCAACUAUUUCUUGGAUUUAAAAUAUAUAGAGAGAGACUUUAUUUUUCAGAGUAGUUCUAGGCUCUUAGCAAUAUUGAGUAGAGAGUACAGAGACUGCCUGUGUGCACUCUGCCUCCAACACAUGCACGACCUCCUCCAUUGUUGACAUCCCAUAUGGCAGGGGCUAGCCAUCUACUGGAGAGACUGAGGCAGAGGGACACAUGAGCCCAGGGAUUUGAGGCCAUUUUGGCAACAGAAUGAGACCUAGUCUUAAAAAAAAUUCUAUUCAUAGGGCUGGGGAUUUAGCCCAGUGGUUCCGGUGCCUGCCCUGCAAGCGCAAGGUCCCGAGUUGGAUCCCCAGUACCAAAAAAAAAAAAAUUCUAUUCAUACAACAAUGAUACAUUUACCACAAUCAAUGAACCUACAUCGAUACAUUAUUACAUCUCUUGGCUUUUGGUGUUUGUUUAGUCUGCUCUAGAGAUUCCAAUAUUCAAUCUUAGCUAAUCAUAUUCCACCUUGAAUUACUUGUAUACACCUUUCCUUCUGUUGUGGCUUGUAUCUAGAAGUUUCCCAAAGUAUCACAUGGUCACAGGUGGGGCUUUUUGGAAGUGGCUGGAUUAGGGUGUGUGAAUGUGAAUUAAGGAUGUGUGGUAACUAAAUUGGUUUAGCAUAGUUCUGGGUGUGGGUAAUGGAAGCCACACAGUUCUGGGUGUGAGUAACACUAUUCAAUAGGCUUGCAGGCUGCAUGGAAUAUAAAGGGACAGAUGGAAGGCAGGCUGCUGCUGCUGCUCACUGCCUUCUGCCUGCCUGCCUGCCUGCCAUAGACUGUUUCUCCUCUUCCAUGCCUCUCUGCCAUGCUGCCCUGCCUUGGGAGGACUUUGUGGACUUAAACCUCUAAAAACUGUGAGCUAAAUAAACCCUCCUGCCUUAACUUGUGGGUGUUGGGUAUUAUGUCUCAGCAGCAAGAAAAGUAAUAAGAUAUCUUCUUUUUGUGAUAUUGUCAGAUAUUAUAUUUUUACCUUUUAAAUAAACAUUAUCAUAUGUUAUUAUUUUUCCUUUAACUAGUAAAUAGUCUUUUAAAUAAAUUUUUGCAAGUACGCACAUUCCUGGUACUCUUUAUUCCUGGCUCCAGAUCUAGGAUUCCCUUGGGCUACUCCUCUUGAGCCUGAAAAAUGUCCUUCUGUACUUGUUGUAGAGAAGUUAUGCUGGCAAAAAAUAUCACCAUUUUUGUUUUCCUGAUUAUCCUUUUAUUUUACCUGUAGUCUGCAAAGAAUUUUCAUUGGACAAAUUAUUCUACGUUGGCAGUUUUUCUUUCAGCACUAAAAAAUGUCAUUCUCUUAUUUUUUGGUUUCCAACAUGUCGAUCAGAAGUCUCCAGAAUUAUUAUUAUUAUUAUUAUUUAUUUAUUUAUUUAUUUUGGUACUGGGCAUUGAACUCAGGUCCUUGCGCUUGCACAGCUGGCGACAAAACCAAUGAGCUAAAUCCCCAGGAGAAGUCUCCAGAAUUCUUGUUUUUGUUCUUUUGAAUGUGAUGCAUCCUUUUUGCCUCUGGCUGAUCUUUAAGAAUGUCCACUUUCUCUGUGGUUUUUAGCAGUUUGCCAUAAUGGUCCAGGGAUGUCGUUUUUGUGCAUGUCCUGUUUGGCACAUGGUAUACUUCUUGAAUCUGUGGGUUGAUAUCUUUCAUCCAUUUUGGAAAAUGGCCAUUAUCUCUUCUACUAUGUUCCUUGUCCUAUUCUCAUUCUGUAACCCCAAAUAAAAGUAUAUUGACCCACUUAAUAUUGUUCAAUGGAUCCUGAAUGCUUUGUUGCAUCUUAUUUGAUUCUCUUUCCUUUGUAUGCUUCUGCUUGGGUAAUUUCUAUUGCCCUGUCUUUGCACUCACAGAUCCUUUCUUCUACCAUGUUUGAUAUGAUAUUAAGCACUUCCAAGAAUUCUUCAUUUCAGAGAUGUACAUUCCAGUUCUAGAAUGUUUUCAGUUCUAUGAUGAAUUUCUGUUUACAUGUUUGUCCACCCUUCCCACUAAAUCCUUUAGCAUAAUAUAUUUUAAAGACUUUAUCUGCUAAUCCUCACAACUGGAUUAUAUGGAAAUUGCUGCCAUUGACUGUUUUCCUCUCUUGUCUAUAGGUCACAUUUCUGUAUAUGUCUGUGACUGUGUUAUUAUCCGCUAGACAUCUUGAACAUUGUAGAGACUACUCUGGAUUAUGAUAUGGUCCCCUAAAGAGUGUUGAACCUUUCAUUUUUCUGCCAGACAGUUAAAUAACUGGUAGAUUAUCUUCAUUUUAAGGAUCAAUUUUAGAUUUUGUUAGAGUAGAUUUAUCUCAGUUUUACCCAUUGUCUAGAAUGAAGCCCUCACGUCUUGGGUACAGUCCUUACUUCUGAAUCCUUUCUUGAUUUCUCUGUGGUUCCCUGUUUUUGUUGCCUGUGCCACAAAUUCUAGCUGACUUGGCAGCCGCAUCUUCUGAACUCUUUCUCCACCUGUGAGACUACAGCUUUCUGCUUGGACUCCUCUUCCUGUGCCACAGUCUGGAUGUCAUCCCCAGGCGGAAAGCCACGGCAAGUGCAGAGCUCAGCACUAGGGUGCUUCUCUUCUUAAACAUCAGCACCUCACAUGGUUAUUUUGCAAAUUUUGCCUGCUUUUUUUUUUUAACAGCACUAAAGUUUAUUUGAAAAAAUGAAGAGUGAGGGAGAAAUGCUCUGCAGGGUGAGCUUAGGCCAAGUAAAAGAGGAAAAAGCAAGAUAAAAGUACACCAUGGAGAAAGCAGGGCAGGCUAUCAUGAGGAAAGCCACAAUAGCCCCCACUUUUGUAAUUGUUUUAUGACAGGCAGAUAAGUCCAGUACCAGCUACUCUACUAUGAAGAGAACAAGAAAUUUCUUCUCUUUUCCUCUGUUGUUUUCCAGUUAAGCUUUUAUCCUCAUAACACCACCCUGUCCUCUGUCAUCAGUGACCAAGCUCUGGUUCUCAUUAGAAGACCUCAUCUCACCUGAUUUUCCUCCCACUUCCUUCACUUCAGUGCCUCUUUAGCCCCCACCGUCUUCACCUAUAGUGGUCGGGGAGCCCCAGAGUUCUCCAGCAGACCCCUCGCUGGUUAGCCACAGUCCCACGGCCUCAAAGAUUUUUUUCUCCCUGAUUUCCAAAAGCUGUCUCAGCCAGCUCUCUGCCCUGAAAUACACACUCGGGCUCCAAUUGCUAUCUAACAUCUCCGCUCGAAGUAAAGCAUCCCAAACUUACCACACCCCAAACCAAAUGGCUUUUCCUUCACAUGCGGCCUCUCCCUCAGCCUUGCCUGCUCUCCCAGCCCAGAAGGUGUGGCAUCAUCCUGGAAAUUCCUUUUACUCCAACCUCGCAUCCAAUCCAUUGGGAAAUUGUGUUGGCUCAAGCUUAGGAAGCCACCCACUAGCUCUGCUGCCCCGGUCACUGCGGCCACUUCCCUCCUGGUUUCUUUGCUUCUGCCUUUGACCCUUGCAUCUCUCAGGGCCACAGCAGGACACAGAGGAGCUGUGUCCUGGCCCAGAACAUGGGACUUCGCACUGGAUCCAAAGGGGUGGAUUACAAGGGUCAAGGACAUCAACAAGAGGUGGCGAAGCACCCGCUGGAGUUCGUCCCCAGGGCAGGUGGCAGUGACAGCUGCUGGAAAGGACCAUCUCAUGGAAGCCAGGCUUUGGUAGAAAAAGUCAGCUGCUGCCUAACUUCAGCCUGGGGAAGUGGGGAGAGGCUGCUUCCUACUGGCAGAGCUGAACUGGGACCCAGGGCUGGGGAGCCCACAGCUGCCAUUCUGGAGGUUCCCCCUGGCUGUGGCUGCCACAAAUGGAGGAGACCAGCAUCCCAGGGCAGAGCGAAGAGCAGAGCGGGGAAGGGGAAAGAACCCACAGGCAAGUGGACAACAUCUCAAGCCCUACAAGUAGUGGUGACAGCUCAGUCCACUCACCUCAUACAUCUGUGACAUGGGGUGACAGUCAUACUAGGUCCACUGGGUCACUGAGAGAAUUAAUUGCAAUUAGGUGCUCAGGACCAUGUGUGGCAGUAUCAUGAGUUCCUGAGCGAUGGCAACGCUGAUCAUUUCUACCUAAUAUUUGAAAUGAAUGCACAAUCAUGUCAUCAUUUCUUCUCCAAAGCCUUGUUAUAAAGGCCUUCGUGGCAGGGGGUGGUUAGAGAACAGAUAGACCACGGAGGAUAUGUAUUGCAGGAUAAACCAUGGCGUGUACAGUCUCCUCACCUCCACCCCAACCCAGAGGCCUCUGACUCAUGUGCCCACCCAGUAGAGAGCCCAGCAGCAGGGAGAGCUGGUCCCAUGAUCACUGUGGCAGCAGGUGUCCCCUUGGCCCAGAGGGACCCAGGCUCACACUGAGUCCGGGAUGGCACCUGACUUGCUCCUGGGGAGGGCAGAGGCUGCUCUGUGCCAGUCUGGCCAAAGCCAGCAGACAUCGCAGCACUGCCCACCCAAGUCCCUGGGACAUCAUCAUCCAGCCCUGGGGCGAAGCCACGUGCAGAGGCCACAUAGACAGAGAGAGGCCCUCGGGCUUAUGGAGAGGGACAAAGAGACUCAGUCAACCCAGCAAGUGGACCAGCGAGUCCACCCUCUCUGUUCCUGAAAAGGCACCAAGUGUGUGUGCCUGAGCUGGAGAGCCCCAGCUGAUUACCAUACCUGAGCUCUGGCACCUGCAGAUCCCAAAGAGAGAAUCAGAUGUUUUAAGCUGUGAGCUUCUGGAGUGACUGGUGCAGAGGCUCAGAUACCCCGACAGCUGGCCAGGGCCAGAGCCCAGGUGCAGAGGCUGGAGCUGGGCCUCUGCCACUGUGGAUGCCCUAGCCCCUCCCACAGGGAAACCGAAAUGUUGCAGCCAGAUGCGCAGCGAGGGAGACUCACCGCUGGCUUCUCGGAGCCUGGAUCCUGCCCCCUUGGCUGGAGGCUGCGCUUGCUGGCCAGUCUCCAUUCCUCUUUUUGAUUGGCACUUUAAUGAGGGCAGGAGGGGUGACCCCCUGCCAGGGGGCCAGUUCAUGCCCCGUUUAUCUCACAGCCCGAGUCAGACUAAAACAACACUGCAGGCAGAGUGGCCGGGAGCUGGGGGGCCCAGAGCCCCUACCCGAGGUGAUGGAUUGAGUGACCACCGAGAGUUGGCAGCUGAAGUGUGUGGUGGCUGCACGAAUCUGUCAGCAUGCAACAAAGCAGUCGGGCUGCAGCCCCUGGCUAAACUGCUCGGCUCCCCAGGGGUCCCCAGGGCCGCCCCCUUCCUUGGCCUCCCCCAGCACUGGGCCACGGUUCAGAGACAGGCUGGGGAUGAGCCAGGCAGUGGGACCUGUUCUGGGGUCCUGGGGGGCCACGCAGAGAGGUCGGGAGCUCUGCACUUCUCCGGCUCCCAGGGCCGGGGCCUUCUCUGUGCAGUGGCCCGGCAGAGCACAGCAAUCUGGAGGGUCCCAGCCAAGCUUUGACUUGCUGUGCACCCUUGAGUGAGUCUGUCAACCUUUCUGACCCUUUGAGUCCUCAUCUAUAAGAGGUUCAUUUUAAGCAGGGUGUAGUGGCAGACACCUGUAAUCCUAGCAUUCUGGGAGGCUGAGGCAGGAGGACCACAAAUAAAUCCUGCUGGGGGCAAUUUGUUGAGACUCAAAAAUAAAACACAGCCUGGGGAUGUAGCUCAGUGUGAAGCCCUGAGUUCGAUACUCAGUACAGAGAGAGAGAGAGAGAGAGAGAGAGAGAGAGAGAGAGAGAGAGAUUAUCUUCCUUCUGUCUCCAUGGCCGUGUUCUUGUGAGGACAGAGUGAGACCCGCUGAUAAAAGUGCCUCUAUCAGGGCCAGGGAUGUAGAUUGGUGGCUGCACCUGCCUCACAUGCUCAAGGUCCUGAGUUCGAUCCCCCAUACCACACACACAAAAAAGCUCCUUUAUCAGAAUGCAGGUUUGCACAAGCCAGGCCUCAGUUUACCUGACCAUCUCCCAUCUCCCUAGUACCCCAUGCCUGUGUUGACUUGGAGGAGCAACUGGUGGCUAAGCCCCACUGCUCAGCACCAGGAGCUGUCACCAGAUGCCACAGCACUGGUGCCAUGCCCUGGAGCUUUGGGGGGACCCCAUUUGACAUAUGGAGAAACUGAGGCUCAGAGGGAUGAAUCUUCCCAGAUUCCACAGAGAAUAGAAACAAAGCAGGGAUCCCGGCAGGCAGCUGAGCCUGAAUCCCCAUGGCCCUUGCCAGAGCACUGGGUUAUGAGCUGGAAUCUCCCUCCAGGUCUGUGGGAGCCGGACAGCCCAGCAGCCCCACAGGCAAAGAGCCCCCGUGGCUCAUACCGGCGGCCAUUCUCCUGGCUCCCCCUGUGCCUUGGAGUGAACUUGAACUUGGACCAUUCCCUGCACCUCACAGGAAGCAGGGGGCCCCAGGGAAAAGCAGCCAGCUCCAGCUCCAUGGAGCCUUUAGGUCUGGGGUCCCACACCAGGGACCAGCUGGUCAUGGAAACCCUGCUGUUUGGUCCCCACAGCUGGGCAGGGGUCACACAAAGUAGGACAAAUGGCUCCUUGGCUCCGGCUCCAAGAGCCUUCUGGGGCCAGGCCUCCGGGGAUGGGAGGGGAGGGAGGCUUCACCUCCCCGUGAACUCCCGCAGGGCAGGAGGCCAGGCCCGGCCUGGGUCAGAGAAAGUAGCAGUACCUCGGUGGGGCUCCACGGGCGUCUGCCCUGGGCUCCCCAGACCAGAGGGGACCUGAGCGGCUAGGGCACCUGAGCGGCUAGGGCACUGGCAGAUCCGGCCACCAAGCAUGGAUUGAACCCCAAACUCUGAUCCACCAGACUAGGCAAGACCCAGUUUUGCCCCAGAGUACAGUGCCCUGGACCCUGCUCUCAGUGGCCUAGUAUGUGCUGUUCCCUGUAUCUCAAAAGGUCUUUUCCGGCCAGCACAGUGACUGUAAUCCCAGAGCUUGGGAGGCUGAAGCAAGAUGACAAGCUGGAGCUCAGCCUGGGAAAAUUAUCAAGACCCUGUCUCAGAAUAAAAACUAAAAAGGGCUGGGCAUGUAGUUUAGUGGGAAAACCCUGGCUUCAAUCUCCAGAACUACCCCUCAAAAAAUCCUUCUUUGCAUAGUUAACUCCAAAUCAGCCUUCAGUGCCGUCCUUGAACGUCACUUCCUCAAGGACACUGUCCCUGGCUGACACCUGCCCCAGAGGACCCCUGGUCACAGUAAGAUAAACAGCUGAGUAGGUCAUGCAUGUGAGUGCCAGGCUCACAUGUCUGUGACCGGUGGGGAACCCUGGGGGCUCACAUGUGUGCCCAUCAGACAGUGUGGCACAUGCGAGGGAAGUCCUCGUGGCCUGGACACCUAUGGCGGGCAUGCACCUCCCUGCACCCAGCACAGACUGCACCAGUCAGGGACACAUCUGUCUUGUUUGCUCCGUAUCCCCAGACUCAGUCUAUACCUAUGCAGCUCUUGUGGGGUAUUUGAAGAAUGCAUUUACUACAAGACAACAAAAAAGUAAAAACAAUUAUUGCCACCACCAAAUCGAGAAAACUGACCCCACAUGAAGUACAAGGCAAGAGUCCCUCUGAGCUGGGCGUGGUGGUGCACAGCUAUAUAGUCCCAGCACUCUGGGAGGCUGAGGCAGGAGGAGCACAAGUUCAAACCCAGCCUGGGCAACUUGGUAGCUUAGUGAGACCCUGUCUCAAAAUAAAAAAAGGCUGGGGCUGUAGAACAGUGUGAAUAUCCUGAGUUCAAACCCCAGCAAAAAAAAAAAAAAAAAAGCAAUGCUGUGACUGAGGAGGUUCUGGUUCUUUUUGUCUCAGAAGAAUUAUUCCAUGUGCGUCAGUGAACCCAGUUCAGAAACCACGACAUGAGGGAACGCCGACCCAGCCCAGGACAAAUUAAUUACAUUACUCAAAUGGGUCACUGCCCAGACCUGGGUGCUGGGUCUGGAACGGAUGGGGAUUGGUGUGAGGCACGCGCAUUCAAGCAUGUGUGUGUGUGCGCGUGCACACAUGUGUGACUCUCAUGCAGCUCAGGACUUCUCAGGAGGAGGAAGAGAUUUCAAAAGCCACAAACUUUACAAGAUGGUGAGUUUCAUGAAUAAAAUAAAAUGUUAGAAAGUGGGAGGCUAACGAAAAAUCGCUACACGGCAUGAAGAGCCCAGUGAAUGAAACAAGAAAAAAAAAAUCAAGGCUCUAAUAUAUGUGAAUAAGGGACACAAAAGGAUUAUGUACAUUUAAAGAAAUUAGAGUUGGGCAGUUGGCAUUUGCGGAAUGCUGGUCUGUGUUAGACACUGAAUUAAGAAUUUGACAUCUCUGCCUGGGAUUUAGCUCAGUGGCGCUGCACCUGCCUUGAAAGUGCAAGGUCCUGAGUUCGAUCCCCAGUUUAAAAAAAUAAAAGAAAGGAUUUAACUCAUUUACUUAUGGAAGUACAAGACAAUCCAGCCAAUAAAUGUGAAGUCUGUUGUCUGUCCUAUGUUCCUACCUUUUCUCUAUUAUCUGUGAAAGUCUAUAAUGCUUUAGUUUGUUCCAAGAAAACUCUUACAUUCCUGCCAUAGUUAAAUCUCUCCAGCCAAGCAGGUUCUGAAGAUAUAAUCCAUGCAUACAGGUGUUAGAGGCCAGAAAAACUAUUUACGGAUCUGCUAUCCUGACAGUUGGGUCUGGGAUACAAUUCGGUUAUUUUUGAGUUGCCUGGGUUCUGCAAAUAAUGUAAUUAUUAUUGUUUAUUCAAAAUACUCCCAUAAUACUGCUUUAGGGUAGUUCUAAGAGAUACUGGAAAUCUGAAAAUUCACUGCAAGCUCUGGGGCCAAAGUCCAUGUUUGAUUUUGGUACUGCAUAUGCCUAAAGAUCUUGCAAAAACGCAAACAAAAAUUAAAUCAUUAGCUGCCUUGGAAAAAAAUGUACACUCUAACCCACUAGGGAGAUGGGUUUAUCUGCAGUUUCUAUGUGCCAGUCGGGCUCUGGGGUUAGUUACCUUGCCAAGUUCACACGCCCAGAGCUGUUAUUUUGGGAAACGUUUAUUCUCGCUAAGAGUCAAAAUGCAGAUUAACACAACACUGAAGGACUAUCUCGUAUUUACUAAGUUAGCAAAGAGAUGUUCUGAAGGCCACACCAAGCACUGGCAAGUACAGAGUCACAUAUUCACUGUGAGCCAAGGGCGCUGUAGGAGGCUUUCAAAAAGAAAUGGAGCAGAGGCCGGGGGUAGAGCUCAGCAGGGGACUGCCAGCCUCGCAUGUGCAGAGGUCUGGAUUCCACGUCCAGCCACAUACACACACACGUACACUUGGAAAGGGAAGGAAAAGGAAAGAAAGAAAUGCAACAACAUUUCAUAGAAACAAUUCAUAAAGCAAUUCAUGUUCUGGCCCUGUAUUGGAAUUCAUGCCCAAGAAAAGGUUUAAAAGAUGGAAAAAGCCAGAGCUGCUAAAAUAGACAUGGGAGCUGGGUGAGGGGGCACUCUGGGAGGCUGAGACAGGAGGAUCACAAGUGCAAGCUCAGCUGGAGUAAUUAGCAACUUAUCGAGACCCUGUCACAAAAUAAAAAGUAAACAAGGGCUGGGGAUGUAGCUCAGUGCAAAAGCCCUCCUGGGCUCAGUCCCCAGUACCAUAAAGAAACAAACAACCACAGGUACAUUAUUAUCAAUGGCAAAAGCAAACAACUAUGACGACAAAAACCAACCUGGAAGCAACCCAAACAUCUGUCAGGAAAAGAGCUUUUCCAAAAUACGGUAAAAACCACACAAAGUAGUAUGAAGCCAUCAAACUGAUCUUCAAAAGAAGUUUGAAGCUUCAGUAUCGUGAAAAUACUGAAAACAUCUAUAGCGUUACGUGAAAAUCUAAAUUGCAAAGAUAAGUAAAACCAACUGCGGCCCUGCUGUCCAGAGUGGCCUGCUGAGCGGGGUGUCGGGGUCACAGGUCGCAGGCACCGAGGGAAGUACUGCUUCCCCGGGGACCAUGAUGACCCAGCAUUUCUUUUUUUUUCAUUUUUCUUCCUUGUCAUGACAGCAUCUUUCCAUAAUGCUGGAUACGCAUUUGAAUACAAUGAGCCCGUGGAUGGACCCUGUGCUCCGGGAAGCCCCUGGCCCAGGAAUUGUGGGAAAGACAGAAAGUAGGAAGGUCACGGUCCCUGGGGGAAAUCCCGCCGCUGGCCGAGCUCAGUCCCAGAGAGAGAACCUGUCUCCCGGGGGAGGAGAGCGCAGGGCUACAGCGAUGUACUCAGCUCUCUCAGAAGGGUCACGUGAGUGAGUUUGACAUGGGGUCACUUUUUCCCAUCCUACUUUCAUUCAUCCAUUCUGUGCCUCUGCUGGGAGCACUGGGCUGGUUGGGGACCCGCCUCGCUAUGUACUUCAGGCUGGCCUUGAACUUCUGGCGAUCCUCCUGCCUCGGCCUCCUGAGUGCUGGGAUUCCAGGUGUGUGCCACUCUACCCAGUCUCAUCAUGGGUGUGAUGGUGCACACCUAUAAUCCCAGCACUUCAGAGGCUGAGGCAGGAGGACUGCUGUGAAGUCGAGGCCAGCCUGGGCUACAUAGUGAGAUCCUGUCUCAAAAAACCAAAACAAAUAAAUAGCUAGAUAGACAGUGAAAAUGUCUGUCUGUCUGUCUGUCUGUCAUCUAUCUAUCUAUCAUCUAUCAUAUCGGUGUUUGACACUGGGGAUUGAACCCAGGGCCUCCCAUAUGCUAGGCAAGUGCCCUACCACUGAGCUACCCCCUAGGCUUUUUUAUUUUUUAUUUUGAGACAGAGUCUUGCUAUGUUGCCCAUGCUGGCCUCAAACUUGUGAUCCUCCUGCCUCAGCCUCUCAGGCAGCUGAAGACCACAGUGCCUUACAUACUCUAACCAGAAAACAGAGCUAUGUUCAUGUUAGGAAACAAAAGAACAACGAGGGUUUAUGGAUCCUUGGGAAGACUGUCCAGAAUCUGGGGUCUCUUUGUGGGAGAGUUACAUUCCCUUCCUUCUCUAUCCUGGACCGAGUUCCCUGGCCACAUCCUGUGACUCUCAGGUGAGCACCACAGGUCCAUCCAGGAACACGACUCAAGCGCUCAAGAUCCGGACACUAUUUGACCGCAAAUGCUUAAAGGGAAGAUGGCUCCAGGCGCCCUGAAGAAGGGUGACUUCUCAGAGUCCAUGGUCACAGGAACAGGGACACUGGGGGAAAAGGCUGCAGGAUGGUCCUUGUCUCUCUUCCUACUGAGACCUCAGGCCCUCCAGCUCCGCACGAUUCCCCAGGGCGGAGGAAAUUAGACUGAGUUGGGGCCCAAAGCUUGCAGCUUCAUCUCCUCAUGGAUUGUCGCUGUGCUCCGAUGCCUGUGACAGCAGGAAGGAGCCUAAUGCUCCCACGCUGCCUGCGCCGAGUCCCAAGUCCUCCUCCUCCAGCUGUUCUCUGGUCCUGGGGAGGUCACGAUCGAGCCCCCAUUACGCAGAAGCCCAAACUGAGACUCUGAAGUCACGUGCCCAGGUCACCGGGAUGUCAAGUGACAGAACCACGGUUCACCCUGACCUCCGCCUCCUGGGCACACAACACAUCUGAGGGCCGAGGGCCUCUCUGAGCUCACAACCCCUCCUGGCCCCUGCUCACUUUGUGGCCUGUAACACAGCCCCAGCCCUGUGCCUCUGACUCUGCCCAGCUCUGCCCUCCUCCCACGAGCCCCCCCACCUUCUCAUUAGACCUUAGAUCAAAGGCUGCCUCCCCUGAGAGGCCUUUGGGGCAACAGCAGCCAGAGCCCUGCUCUGACGACUCCAUGAUGUCUCUGCCACCUCCAUAAGCCCUGGUGCCUAGGCUGGCUCCUCCACUCUGUGUUCCCAGAUUGGGCAUAGUGCUCAGCUGCUGCAACACUCAGUCCCUACUUGCCUGUGGAGAGAAUGAGCACCAGGCCACCCACUUCCGGUGCCCUCCAUACCCUGUCUGGGUCCUGCCCCUUACCCUAGUAUGGCUCAGCUGUGCCUUUGGGUCACACAUCUUUUCAGAGCAGCAGCAGGCUGGGCAGCCAUGGGUAGACCAGAUGGCUACAGGAGGAUGGCUAUGGCUGGGCCCAGAGACCUCCAGCUCUUCUGCAGAUCCUCCUGCCUUCUCGGGGACCCCCGACCCUCAUGCCCUUUUCCAGCCUCUCCUCUUGCUCCCUAAAGAUACCCCAAGGUGACUCAGGCUGGGCACAAAUGGAGGAGGAGAUGGCCAGGGUCAUGCUAAGGACCCACCCCAAACCUCCAGGGCCAAUGCCAAGUAGGAUAAUUCAGGCCUCCUACAAGGGUCCCCUGUCCCUCACAAGGGUGCAGACCGGGGUUUGGCAGACCUGUGUGACCUUUCCAGUGAAGCGUCAUGUGGGGGAGUGAGACGGGGACCCAGAUUCUGCCGGGUGUGACCUUUGUGUGGGCCCAAACCUGCAUCUCUGAGUGGGGUGAUGGCAAGGCCUGGGCCUGUCCUGGGCCCUGUGCCCUCGGACUCCCACCUGGGCUGCAGUGGCAGGGCCUGCGGGAGGAGGCAGGUGACAAUCCCUCGGGAGGUGACAAUCCCUCGGGAGGUGACAGCUGUGGGGUGGGAGCCGCCGCCACCACCUGAGAGUGGGUGAGGAGCAGGUUAGCUGGGUGAAAAGUUCACCACGAGGGGAGCUGUCUGUUUCCCUUGCUUAAUUUAGCCACUAUUUGGCUAACCUUGCUCUGAACCCAGGCCUGAGACCCCUCUCCGUGCUCCCCCGCCUCCCCACCGGGCUUCCGAGCCGCCACUGGCCCUCCCGCCGCCCUCGCUGCUGGGCAGGGGACACGCUGGCCUUGAAGAGGCCCGGGAGAGAGGCCGGCUGCCCGGCCAGGUGGUUAUUUAGGAGCUGAGCCUUCUUCCAUUCUCAGUAACCGAGAUAAAGUCCGGCUGCCGGCGAGGUCCAGGCCUCAAGGGCCUCAGAAGGAGCCCCACCUGGCGCUGCCUUCGCCAAAUACACAGCUGCGCUGGAGACGGUGACCUUUCCUUCAGAAGGCCUCUGUCAUCCGGCCUCAGGCAGGACCUGGACAUAUGGCCCAUCUGCCUCAGGGGAAGGCCGGCCUCCUCCUCUGGCCCCGGGAUGGCCUCAGGGGCGUCCACCCAUCCUUGACCGCUCAGGUUGGCUCUGUGGACUCCUCCUCAGCACUGUCGUCCUUUUUCUGAUGGCGCGGGCAUCAGUGACCGACCGCUGUACUGCAGGCUGCUCAAGUCCCUGGCACAUGUGACUUCCUAUCAUGGUGGAGGAGGCUGGCUGGGGACUGAGUCUCCCUCCUUCAGCCUCCAAGCUGUUGGUGACAGGGCAACCCAGGGCACUUUGACCCUGAAGCCGGCGCUCUGUGUGACCGAACUCACUUACCUCGUCUCAUUUUUUAGGCUUUCACUGAAACCCUUUGGGCAACCCUAAAAGUCACACGUGUCCCCAGCAACCAGGGAAACACGAAGACGCAUAAAGGAUGAGUCACCCUGUCCUGGGCCGGCGCUCACCCCUGCUUAUUCCACAGGACCUUCCUCUACUGUCUCCAAAUUUUAAAAUUCACAAAAACAAGGGGCACUUGGGCUCCUGUGUAGACUGGGAAUGGCUUGUUUUGACAAUGACAGGGACCUGGCGUGUGUAUCCCUCUGCUCUUUUCGGCUAGCAACGCAGCCUGUGGCAGUCCUAGGUCAGAGGCCUUCAAGUGUUCGUGCUCACAGCUGCACAAUAGUCCUCCUUCGGAUGGACACGGUUGUUUCCCUUGCUUCCUUUUGCAGUGAGGUAGGACAGACAGACAGGCCCAAGGGCACAGUGUAGUCAGUGUCGCAUGUGUAGACGCCUGUGUAGCACCCAGGAUUCCAGCACUGAAUGUUUCCAGCCUCUAAAGACUGGUGCACACUCCUAUAAUCCCAGAACUCUGGGGACUGAAGCAGGAGACUGAAAGUUUGAGUCCAGCCUAGGGAACAGGGUGACUUUAAGAAACUCUGUCUCAAAAUAAAAAGAAUAAUAAGGGCUGGGCAUGUUGCUUAGUAUAAAGGCCCUAGGUUCAAUCCUUCGUAUCCAAAAACAAAACAAAAGAAAGAUUCCCUCCCUGUCCCCAGCCACAUCGGCCCCAAAGAUAAUCACUAGGGUUACCUCUCUCUCCACAGAGCUAUUGUGCCUUUUUGUGCCUGGCUCCUUUGCUCAGUGUAGUGUUUGAAGAUUUCUCCAUGUUGUUGCACAAGGGGGGGAAAAAUCCCUUCAUUUUCAGUGCUGUAUAGUGUUUCAGUGUAUGCAUGUUUACCAUAAUCGAUCCAUACUACAGUUGAUAGAAAUGUGCAUGGCUUCUGGUUUUCCCAGCACACACGGAUGACAGGGCAAUAGACAUUUUGAGGCUACCCCUGCAGGCUCCCAUUCUUCUUUUGAAGGAAGGACUCCAUCUCUCCAUUUGCUGAUGAGAAUAAAAGGUUUCUUUUCAUACUUGUCCAGGGAGAUGGUUGUUUCUUCCAUUCCGGAGAAUCAUUCAGCAAAAUCUCUGGAGCCUUCAUUGGCUGGACCAGGCCAGAAGGAGCUGCCCAGGCCCUGGUGAGGAGUACUAAAUUUUAUUCUGCAGGCAGCAGAGAGCCACUGCAGGCUCUAAGCUGGGUGUGGCACGUUCAGGUCUGUGAUCUGGGAAGAGUUCCUGGCUGUGUAGUGGGGCCUCGGAGGGCAGGACACCGCCUCAGAGAUUAUCCUGAAGUCCAGCUGUGGCCCCAGGGCCUGCUGUCCAGGAGACACAAAGAGGGCCGAGGGGCGGAACCCGGAUGUGUUGCAGCGUCACAGCACCACAGAGAGGCACCAGUGGGCUCAGCCUCAGCUGCGCCUGCCCAAGGCCAGGCUUGCAGCUCCCUUCAAGGUGCACACAGACCCCGGCCUCCUGCCCAGUCCCCGAGCCUGCUUGCCUCCUAAAGAGCAAGAUGUCAGAAGGAAGGCAGCACCGAAGAUGUGCAAAUGAAGGGCGGAGAAAGAGAAAACUCCUGGCCAGGGGAUGGAGAUCUGCGUUGUACCAUGGAUCCAGUUAUACCUGAGACAAGUUACCACUGGGCUUUGCAGUAGAGGCCUCCAGAGUCCACCUGACAUCGACCACCUUGAUCCACCAGGGGUGGUGGAACCCAGCAGCGACAUUGACACGAAGCCACCGGGAAAAGGCCUGGCGGGAGCUGGCUACAAUGUUGAUGAAUUGUGGCAAGAAUUGAAUCCAUUCUCUUUAUAUAGCAGACCUCAGAAGCCACAAACCCAGGCAUUAAAGCCCGGGGUUGUGCCACUGGACUCUAAGGUUCAAAUCCCAGCUCUACCAGUUACCAGCUGUGAACAGGGCCCUGGGAAGGCUCCUAUAUCUGUCUCUGGCUCUGCUUCCCAUAAAAUGUUGGGAGAUUUUCAGCACUAAAUGCAUAUAACUUAGCAAGGACAGAGUGAUUUCUGAUUUUAUUAUAACAAAUAUAAAUUUAUGACUUGGUAUUUAUUGGUACCAAGCACACAUACAUUAAUUUAUUAUGUGUAUUACACCCCCGAUUUUCACAAGCAACUCUGUAUAGAGAGAAGAACUCUCGGUCACAUCCUACAGAUGAGGAAACUGAGGCCCAGGGAGGCUAAGUCCAGGUUAAGGUUAAGCUCAAGUUCCCAUGGAGUCAGGACUGGGAAUCUCAGCCGGAUGUGACUGGCUCCAAACGUCAUUCUCUUUGUGCUGCACUGGCCAGAUUGGCUUCUCUCAGCUCCCCAGCCAGUGUGGACCGGAAGCGAGUUCAGCUGGGCACGGCUGAGGAGGGUGGGUUGGGCUGGAAUCCCGCCCGCCCAUCCACCCCAGCCACGAGGACUCCAUCGGGCAACUGGGGUGGGUUAGCCUGGUCUUAUACUCAGCAUGCCAGGGCUGUAGAAGUUCACGUGCCCACAACCAUGUGACCUUCCCAGGCAAGCGGGAUCCAGUUACAUCGCAGCAGUGGCCCCAAGGAACAAACACAGCUUGUGUCUUCCUCCAAGGGCUUAUUUCCUUUGUCUUGUGAGCAUUGAAAAAUGAAAGGAAUGAUAAGGAUUUGAUGGGGGGGUGCCCUGGAAAAUUCUGCAGAACUUGGGUAACUCAUCCAGAGGAAAGCAAGGGGGAGUUUUCCAACCAAAUCCAAAGGCAGAGAAACCCAACACGAAGGCCUGAGCCCUGUGAGGUCUCCUGGAUUCCUAGGUUCUCUUUAGAAGGCACAGAGGCCCCAGGCCUGGGGCGGAAGUCCCAUAACCCAGUACUGCCACCAGGCUCCUGUGGACAGACCACGAAAUCUCUCCAGGGCUCAGCUUCCUUGGCUACUCUGCAUCAGUAAUGCCAACUCCCAGGCUCUGGGUUGUUACAAAGAAAUGAGAAACUGUGUGUAGACAGUGGUUCUGCUGGGGGGAUUAACACCCUUGGGGACAUAUGGCAACGUCUGGAAACUUUUUUAGUUGUCACACUGGGAAAAGCAACUGGUGAGUGAAGACCGAGGACACUGCCACACACCACACAGUGCCCAGGACACCCUGCCAAAGAAUGGCCCUCUCCAAAGACCCAGGGUGCUGUGGCUGAGCAAGUGCUGGUGUAGAGUCUCAAAUGUUUAGUUCACAUGCUGAUGUUGGUUUUACUGUUCCAUUGGCGCGCAUGUGGGAAGGGGGACAGGAGAACAGGGUGGCCCAGGAAGAAGGCAGAGCUUGCAUGCCAGCUGCCCCUGGAGACAGAUCUGCUGUCCUCCUUCAGACAAUGUUCACAACCCCUGCCCUCAGGAAGUGUUUGGUCCAGAAGGAGAGACAGCCAGCAGACGAAGCAAGCACUUAAAGAAUACUGGUUCCAAAUAUCCACCAAAAGUGAUGAACGGAGGAUGGUGAUUCAAAAGGAGUGAGGUUUGGACACAGAGGAGUCUUGACAUUAUGCUGAGUGGGAGAAGCCAUCGCUGUGUGACUGCAUUGUUACCAAAAGAGCAGGCAGAUCCUCAGACUGAAAGUAGCUGGUGGUUCCCUGAGCUGAAAGAGUUGAGGAAAAAGGCAGAGAGACCGCUAGUGGCUAUAGAAUUUCCUUCUGGGCCAAUGAGAAUGGUAGUGCUGGCUGCCCAGCUCAAUAAUAUACUGCAUGCCAUGGGACUGCACGCUUUAAUGUGUGAACUGGGAGCUACAUGAAUGAAAGCUUAAUAAAGCCAUUAUAAAUAACAAUAAUACUGAUGAAUGGCUAUACUGAUGAAUGAAAUAAGCAACCAGCAGGGCCAUUGUGCUCAGGGGGGAUACAGAUGGCAGGUGACAUCUAAGGAAGAGACAGAGACUAAGUUCUGGUGCAGGGGACAACAUGAUGUGCAGAGUCCCCAGGGCAUGAGCCCGAUGUGUGGUCCUACAAGGGAUCAGCUGCAUGCACCGUGGAGUGGGAGCUGCAGAGAAAGGUGCAGAGGGCUGACUGGGCAGUGACCUUAGGGACC